rnacentral:lncRNA from 1 species
AUGUAUCCAUGUAUAUAUUUUCGUAAAGAUAUAAAUUCUUAAAUAAAUAUUUGAAAUGAAUUUAAAUAUAAAUUAAACAAGUCAUGACAUUAAAAUAAUAUAACAACAUUUAUUUAAAUAAAUCACACACAAAUCUCAAAUAGUAUAGAAUUUCAGAGUUUACAUAACCAAAAGAUAUCACAUGAAAUAACAUAAUAUGUUUUAAGAAACAUUUAUCUUUAAAUAGAUUCGACGCGCCCAUUCGACUCUCCACGCGCCUCCAAUAUCAAUCACCUGAAACUGUUGAAUAUGGGAUGAGCAUACAGGGUACACUCAGUGUGGGAACAUGCAAUAAUUGUCCAUGUUAAUAAAAUGGUAACACAUAUUGUCAUAACGUAACAUAAAUUCCAUACGCACUGUGGCAAUCCAAGGACUUUAAUGUCCCGGACCCUAUAUGUGGGCCCCUGGCGACAAUAUAAUGGUUGCAACCCUGUAACAUGAAAUCGCAUUGUGGCAUACCAAGGACGGUGAAGUCCUGGACCAAUUAUGCUGGCCCCUAGCGAUAAAUAUUUUUACAACACAUACGGUAAACACAUAAUAUUAAAAUGGACAAAUAUUAACCACGUGCAUGUACUGAAAUAAAUCCCACACCUGAAACUUGAGCUUUGAAAGUUAACUGCGAUAAUUUAAAGUUCACGUCCUAAUCGCGCCGCACCUAGUCAGAUAAAUUCAGAUAAUAACAUAUAAGGGCCUAUUUGAACUUUAAAAUAAUUUAGAUUAUUGGAUCAUAUAAAAAUAUUUGAUCUAAUAAAUUUAAGUAAUAAAAUAUAUUUUCUUAUAAAAAGAUUUGGGGUCAAUAAUUAAUUAAAACUAAGUUUAAAUUAAUAAUACAAGUCCAAAUAUAAUAUGAAUGAUGUUCUUUAUAAAAUGAUAUGCAAAUGCAAGUUCAUUUGAUAAUUAAAAAAAAGAGCCCAAUCAUAUAAUAAAGCUAAGCCCUAAUUUAAAGCCCUCUCCAAGCCCAUCAUUCAACACCAAUUUAACACCCACUUUGACUUCUACACCCUUCAGUCACCACGCACACACACAACUCACGCACACACCUCUCUUCUCUCCCAACCAUUCUCUCCUCUAUCACUCCCUUUCUCUCCCUCGGCCUCCUGCCGCCAUCGCCGGCACACCGUCGCCGGAGGCCGGCGACUCCUCCUCCUUCCUCUCUCCUGGUCGACCGCAACGCCACCACCGCCGUCCCUGUGUCGACAGAGGCGCGCCCAGCCGCCUCCCCUUCACACGCAACGGCGUCGUUGCUCCGGCGAGAAAUCCCUCACCUCAUUUCAUUUUAAUUCCCCCCAUUUUCUCUAUCUAUUUCCUUUUUCCAUGUAAUUAUAAGAUUUAUUCUAUUUGAUUUCCUUAUGGAAAUUACAGUAAAAGGAUGUGUGCAUAUUUUGAUUUGAAAACAAAAUUCUGUUGUAAAGUUUUGAUUUUUGGCAGAAAUGAGAAACCAUGAAUGAAAAAGAAACUUUGCAAAAAUAAUUAAAAUUUACCAGCUGGGAUUCGUAGGGAGAAUCUGCAGAUUUUAGUUAAAUGAACAGAUGAAGAGGUGAGUUGGGGAUGAGGAAUUGAGGUUUAAAUAGAUUGAUUUCGUCAAAGAUUUGAA